rnacentral:lncRNA from 1 species
CACAAAAAGGCUUUGGGGUUGUGAUAUUCGUUACAAUAUCUAGUAUUGAUGUCCUCAAGAAAACUAGCACGAAUGGGAGUACCCAAGUAAGUGGGCCUUCUUUUCCAUCUAAUUUGGGUUGAACAAGCAGGUGUGCUUUCAGUUGCAGUCCUUGACUUGGGCAGGUCUCUUCUUCCCUACCAACCAGAUUUUGGCAGACAAACCAACUAGCCAAGCAUACAACAUUUUUGUUCACUGAGGAGGAGUGGUGCCUUCACCUGAAGACCAUGAAGCCAAAGAUGCACUUCUCUUACACUGUGGAUUCCUGCUAUAUCGUUUUGUUCUGUCUUGCAUGAUUUGACUCUUAGUGUAUUACCUACGCAGAAAGCCACUAAAAA